GACGAACGCUGGCGGCGUGCUUAACACAUGCAAGUCGAACGGAAAGGCCCUGCUUUUGUGGGGUGCUCGAGUGGCGAACGGGUGAGUAACACGUGAGUAACCUGCCCUUGACUUUGGGAUAACUUCAGGAAACUGGGGCUAAUACCGGAUAGGAGCUCCUGCUGCAUGGUGGGGGUUGGAAAGUUUCGGCGGUUGGGGAUGGACUCGCGGCUUAUCAGCUUGUUGGUGGGGUAGUGGCUUACCAAGGCUUUGACGGGUAGCCGGCCUGAGAGGGUGACCGGCCACAUUGGGACUGAGGUACGGCCCAGACUCCUACGGGAGGCAGCAGUGGAGAAUAGUGCACAAUGGGCGGAAGCCUGAUGCAGCAACGCCGCGUGCGGGAUGACGGCCUUCGGGUUGUAAACCGCUUGCGCCUGUGACGAAGCGUGAGUGACGGUAAUGGGUAAAGAAGCACCGGCUAACUACGUG
rnacentral:rRNA from 1 species